rnacentral:tRNA from 1 species
CGCGGGUGGAGCAGCACGGUAGCUCGUCGGGCUCAUAACCCGAAGGUCGCAGGUUCAAAUCCUGUCCCCGCAACCA